rnacentral:tRNA from 1 species
GGGCCUGUAGCUCAGCCAGGUAGAAACGCCAAACUAUUGCGAGAACGGCGAACGCCUAAAGCGUCGGGCUCUUAACCCGAUGGCCGGGGGUUCAACUCCCCUCAGGCCCGCCA